rnacentral:tRNA from 4 species
AAAAUUUUAGUUUAAGUAAAACAUUUCUUUUACAUUGAAAAGAUUAAAAUAAUUGUUUAAAAUUUUA